rnacentral:rRNA from 1 species
GACGAACGCUGGCGGCGUGCUUAACACAUGCAAGUCGAACGAUGAAGCCUUCGGGUGGAUUAGUGGCGAACGGGUGAGUAACACGUGGGUAAUCUGCCCUGGAUUCUGGGACAACAUCGGGAAACCGAUGCUAAUACCGGAUACGAGCACCGGCCGCAUGGCCUGGUGCUGGAAAGCUGAGGCGAUCCAGGAUGAACCCGCGGCCUAUCAGCUUGUUGGUGGGGUAACGGCCCACCAAGGCGACGACGGGUAGCCGGCCUGAGAGGGCGACCGGCCA